GGCAGUAGUGGCUGGAUGGUUAAAGCUCUGGGUUACUGAUCGGAAGUUCGGGGGUUCAAGCCCCAGCACUGCCA